CCGCUCCUCCAGGUGCGGCCGCUCCGUCUGCUCCGUCCACAUCAUGGAGCGCGAUCGGGGCCCGCGGGCCUCGGCGGUCGAUCUGGGCUUCGGGGCGCUCAGCACGGCGCAACUCCGCGCCCUCAUGCGGGACGAAACCUGGCUCGAGCGCAUCGUCAAGCUGAGCAGGAAGUUCCAGAACCUGCAGCUGGAGCGGGAGGUGCACCUAGCUUCCAACUAUAACCUCGCCAAGCAAAAUUUGGGCUUGCAGCCUCGGCUAGAGAAUGGCAAAGCUUCCCUCGCUAUCAAAUACCAGGAGUUGCAGGAGCUGCGGGAAACCUGUCACGACAAACAGCAGCGCUUGGGAGCGUGUAUGGCAAAGUGGACUCCAGAGAAUGCCCUGAGCAGGCUACAGGCUGAACUGGAGAACGUAGAGGCCAAAGUGGAGGAACAAAUGGAGCAGUUCCUAUGUUGGGAUCUCCCUAUUGAGAGCUUUGUGGAGUCUUUCCAGCACAGCCGCAUGCUCUCCCACCUUCGUCGCACUCAGCUGGAGAAGUUGCAGGAGAUCCUGAAGGUGGAGAAGGCAAAAACUCCUGAAAAGCCAAGCCCGAGCUGUGAAGAGGAACAGCCUGCAGUCUCCCCAGCACUUCCAACUCCUCCUCCUCCUCCACCACCACCUUCGGCUCAAGCGGCCCCAGCUCAGAAUAAUGGGCCACCUCCUAAGGUCUUCCAGCUCCGCUUGGCACCAGCAUUCUUGAUCCCCUCAGAGGCUGUGCUCCCCAUCCCCAUGACAGCAGCCCCUCAGAAGUGCUGCCUGCCCACUCUGGCCACCUCGCACUCCACCACUAACUUUGUGAGCUCUCCCUUGAGCCUGAUUGGGCACAUCCAUUUGCCCCAGGCACACCUGCCUCACCAGCAGAAGAAGAAAGAGCCGCCGCAUCGGUAGCUGCCACAGCACCAAUGGGACAUUUUGACCAGAGCCUCUGACACCAGCUACGAUGGGCCAGAGUCUGAGGUUCAAAAACAAAAUAGCCUGCUGCGAUAACCUGGUUUGGCCCUUGCAGGUGCCCAGAUCCUGGUUUUCUUCGGUGGGAAGCAGGAGUGGGUUCUCAUUGACCAAGAGAUCAAACCGGUCCUACCAUCGAAAACAAUCCUCAGUAUCUCAAAACAAGCCUAGAGGCCACAACACGCUCUUGGAAUGUAAAUCUGCUCCUUCAAUUUUACCACAAGAUGGAAGGGACAGGAGGGGAGGAGGGGCCAUUUCCAGUCUCCUCUACCUCUCGGACUUCACUGGAUCCCCUCCCUCAAUGACGUAAUGCACAAGCCGGAACUGGUUCUUCUUCUUCUUCUUUUAUUUUCUCUUUCCUUUGGGGACUUUGCUGCAAAACUUUAUACAUGUGUGAAAGGGGGAGGGGUGUCUUUCCCAGAGGUCAUCCGAUUCUGGCAGUGCCCCCAGCAGCUUCAAGGUAGACCUCAUGCUGUCUUCGUG